GUCAUACGGAGUAACCGAGACUUCUUUUUUCCCUUGCUCAAACUUCAGUUUCGCAUUUGCCAGCUUUCAUUGUAUGCUUCAGCAGGUUGUCCGCAACGGACGAUACGAGACGUUUGGGGUACCCCGCAUCUAGGAUUAUACUGUAAUCUAGUACACUGUACUAGGGUGCAUCGAUACCAAGGAGGAUAUAUAAAAAUUGCUGGAGUGGAGAGAGCGCGCUCCGACUGAAGCCUCCGUCCGCCAUCUUACCAGAGGCAGAAAGCGCGCUCGGCGCCGGCGGCACCGGCUCUCGCUGCUGUUUUCGUGAGUUGGUAUGCAGUGCAAUUUGAUGUGAGGGGCAUGUAAACACCAUCGAUUUGAUUAUGGUUGCCUUUUGCGUUGCCUACGGAUGUGCGAACAGGCUGAAGAAGGGUUGUGGCCUCACGUUUCACCUGUAAGUACACGAGAACACGUUCAUUGAGCCACUACGCUCGCGUUGCCGAUGGAUGUCAACUGAUAAGUUGUGUGUGUGUGCGCAACGACUAAUAGUCCUGGAAUUGCCGACAGGUUGGCAUGCGAAAGGUGGCAUGCGAAAGAUGCAGAUCGUCUUUGCUGUGUGCAUUUCGCGCCGGAGUGCUUCGACCGCACCGGACAGACAACACGACUGCGUGCGGGUAGUGUUCCUUCUGUGUUCCCUGCGUUUCCGGAGCAUCUACAGAAGCCCGUGAAAAGGAAGCGUCCAGGCCCGCAAGCAUGAAGACUGGUUCCAGAAACUGGAGGACCACAUCCUUGAUCUUGAUCCACUUGAUAACCAUAUUUAUAUUUUGUGCAAAAAAAUCGCUGAAGAAUAUAUAAAAGUGAGAAUACACCACAUGACGAAAGAACGAAACUGUGAACUGAUCAAAAACAAAGUGAGACCACUUUUGUCGAGGGUGAUUAUUUUCAAUCACCAGUAGGAUGUUUGUCAUGGUGUUCUUGACUGUAUGUGAGACUUUCUCCUUAAUAUCUGCUCAUUUGAACUUCCCUCUGCGUAUCAGUUGGCUGCUGGUUGAUGGUAAAUAAACGACUACAACUAGAACCACACAUUUGCAUUCCUUUCUAAAUGGGAGCAGCUGCAUCAGCAAAGCGAAAAAGCGCGAGCGCAGCUGCAUUACGCUUUUCUCCUUAAUAUUUGUACAGUUACACUGCCUUUUACAUGCCAGUUUUCUGCUAGCUGAUGGAAAAUAAAUGGAUAUAACUAGAA